GGCCGGUUGGCCCAAUGGCAAGGCGUCUGACUACGACUCUCUCGAUCUGAGACCGUUGAUCGUGUAAUCAGGAGAUUCUGGGUUCGACCCCCAGGCUGGUCA
rnacentral:tRNA from 1 species